UCGAGAAUCUUCCGCAAUGGACGAAAGUCUGACGGAGCGAUGCCGCGUGGUUGAUGAAGUGGUUCGCCAUGUAAAAACCUUUUAUGAGGGAAGAAGUUUAUUGACGGUACCUCAUGAAUAAGGGGCUCCUAAUCUCGUGCCAGCAGGAGCGGUAAUACGAGAGCCCCGAGCGUUAUCCGGAAUUAUUGGGCGUAAAGUGUGCGUAGGCGGCUAUGUUAGUCAUUUUUCAAAUCUAUCGGCUCAACCGGUAAAAGGGAAAUGAAACGGCAUUGGCUAGAGGCUGUAAGAGGUAUAUGGAACUCAUGGUGUAGGGGUGAAAUCCGUUGAUAUCAUGGGGAACACCAAAAGCGAAGGCAAUAUACUGGUACAGAUCUGACGCUGAGGCACGAAAGCGUGGGUA
rnacentral:rRNA from 1 species